rnacentral:rRNA from 2 species
UUAAGCGACUAAGCGUACACGGUGGAUGCCCUGGCAGUCAGAGGCGAUGAAGGACGUGCUAAUCUGCGAAAAGCGUCGGUAAGGUGAUAUGAACCGUUAUANCCGGCGAUGUCCGAAUGGGGAAACCCAGUGCAAUUCGUUGCACUAUCGUUAACUGAAUACAUAGGUUAACGAGGCGAACCGGGGGAACUGAAACAUCUAAGUACCCCGAGGAAAAGAAAUCAACCGAGAUUCCCCCAGUAGCGGCGAGCGAACGGGGAGCAGCCCAGAGUCUGAAUCAGCUUGUGUGUUAGUGGAACGGUCUGGAAAGUCCGACGGUACAGGGUGAUAGUCCCGUACACCAAAAUGCACAGGUUGUGAACUCGAAGAGUAGGGCGGGACACGUGGUAUCCUGUCUGAAUAUGGGGGGACCAUCCUCCAAGGCUAAAUACUCCUGACUGACCGAUAGUGAACCAGUACCGUGAGGGAAAGGCGAAAAGAACCCCGGCGAGGGGAGUGAAAAAGAACCUGAAACCGUGUACGUACAAGCAGUGGGAGCACCUUUAUGGUGUGACUGCGUACCUUUUGUAUAAUGGGUCAGCGACUUAUAUUCUGUAGCAAGGUUAACCGUAUAGGGGAGCCGCAGGGAAACCGAGUCUUAACUGGGCGUUAAGUUGCAGGGUAUAGACCCGAAACCCGGUGAUCUAGCCAUGGGCAGGUUGAAGGUUGGGUAACACUAACUGGAGGACCGAACCGACUAAUGUUGAAAAAUUAGCGGAUGACUUGUGGCUGGGGGUGAAAGGCCAAUCAAACCGGGAGAUAGCUGGUUCUCCCCGAAAGCUAUUUAGGUAGCGCCUCGUGAACUCAUCUUCGGGGGUAGAGCACUGUUUCGGCUAGGGGGUCAUCCCGACUUACCAACCCGAUGCAAACUACGAAUACCGAAGAAUGUUAUCACGGGAGACACACGGCGGGUGCUAACGUCCGUCGUGAAGAGGGAAACAACCCAGACCGCCAGCUAAGGUCCCAAAGUCAUGGUUAAGUGGGAAACGAUGUGGGAAGGCACAGACAGCCAGGAUGUUGGCUUAGAAGCAGCCAUCAUUUAAAGAAAGCGUAAUAGCUCACUGGUCGAGUCGGCCUGCGCGGAAGAUGUAACGGGGCUAAACCAUGCACCGAAGCUGCGGCAGCGACACUAUGUGUUGUUGGGUAGGGGAGCGUUCUGUAAGCCUGCGAAGGUGACCUGUGAGGGUUGCUGGAGGUAUCAGAAGUGCGAAUGCUGACAUAAGUAACGAUAAAGCGGGUGAAAAGCCCGCUCGCCGGAAGACCAAGGGUUCCUGUCCAACGUUAAUCGGGGCAGGGUGAGUCGACCCCUAAGGCGAGGCCGAAAGGCGUAGUCGAUGGGAAACAGGUUAAUAUUCCUGUACUUGGUGUUACUGCGAAGGGGGGACGGAGAAGGCUAUGUUAGCCGGGCGACGGUUGUCCCGGUUUAAGCAUGUAGGCUGGUUAUCCAGGCAAAUCCGGAUAAUCAAGGCUGAGGUGUGAUGACGAGGCACUACGGUGCUGAAGUAACAAAUGCCCUGCUUCCAGGAAAAGCCUCUAAGCAUCAGGUAACAUCAAAUCGUACCCCAAACCGACACAGGUGGUCAGGUAGAGAAUACCAAGGCGCUUGAGAGAACUCGGGUGAAGGAACUAGGCAAAAUGGUGCCGUAACUUCGGGAGAAGGCACGCUGGUGUGUAGGUGAAGUCCCUGCGGAUGGAGCUGAGACCAGUCGAAGAUACCAGCUGGCUGCAACUGUUUAUUAAAAACACAGCACUGUGCAAACACGAAAGUGGACGUAUACGGUGUGACGCCUGCCCGGUGCCGGAAGGUUAAUUGAUGGGGUUAUCCGUAAGGAGAAGCUCUUGAUCGAAGCCCCGGUAAACGGCGGCCGUAACUAUAACGGUCCUAAGGUAGCGAAAUUCCUUGUCGGGUAAGUUCCGACCUGCACGAAUGGCGUAAUGAUGGCCAGGCUGUCUCCACCCGAGACUCAGUGAAAUUGAACUCGCUGUGAAGAUGCAGUGUACCCGCGGCAAGACGGAAAGACCCCGUGAACCUUUACUAUAGCUUGACACUGAACAUUGAGCCUUGAUGUGUAGGAUAGGUGGGAGGCUUUGAAGCGUGGACGCCAGUCUGCGUGGAGCCAACCUUGAAAUACCACCCUUUAAUGUUUGAUGUUCUAACGUUGGCCCCUUAUCGGGGUUGCGGACAGUGUCUGGUGGGUAGUUUGACUGGGGCGGUCUCCUCCCAAAGCGUAACGGAGGAGCACGAAGGUUAGCUAAUCCUGGUCGGACAUCAGGAGGUUAGUGCAAUGGCAUAAGCUAGCUUGACUGCGAGCGUGACGGCGCGAGCAGGUGCGAAAGCAGGUCAUAGUGAUCCGGUGGUUCUGAAUGGAAGGGCCAUCGCUCAACGGAUAAAAGGUACUCCGGGGAUAACAGGCUGAUACCGCCCAAGAGUUCAUAUCGACGGCGGUGUUUGGCACCUCGAUGUCGGCUCAUCACAUCCUGGGGCUGAAGUAGGUCCCAAGGGUAUGGCUGUUCGCCAUUUAAAGUGGUACGCGAGCUGGGUUUAGAACGUCGUGAGACAGUUCGGUCCCUAUCUGCCGUGGGCGCUGGAGAAUUGAGGGGGGCUGCUCCUAGUACGAGAGGACCGGAGUGGACGCAUCACUGGUGUUCGGGUUGUCAUGCCAAUGGCACUGCCCGGUAGCUAAAUGCGGAAGAGAUAAGUGCUGAAAGCAUCUAAGCACGAAACUUGCCCCGAGAUGAGUUCUCCCUGAGACUUUAAGUCUCCUGAAGGAACGUUAAAGACGAUGACGUUGAUAGGCCGGGUGUGUAAGCGCAGCGAUGCGUUGAGCUAACCGGUACUAAUGAACCGUGAGGCUUAACCUU